CUUUGACCUCAAAUCGGGUGGGACUACCCACUGAACUUAA
rnacentral:rRNA from 1 species